CAGCCGCCGCGGGAAUACGUAGGGCGCAAGCGUUAUCCGGAAUUAUUGGGCGUAAAGAGCUCGUAGGCGGUUUGUCGCGUCUGCCGUGAAAGUCCGGGGCUCAACCCCGGAUCUGCGGUGGGUACGGGCAGACUAGAGUGAUGUAGGGGAGACUGGAAUUCCUGGUGUAGCGGUGAAAUGCGCAGAUAUCAGGAGGAACACCGAUGGCGAAGGCAGGUCUCUGGGCAUUAACUGACGCUGAGGAGCGAAAGCAUGGGGAGCGAACAGGAUUAGAUACCCCCGUAGUCCCUGUCUCUAUACA
rnacentral:rRNA from 1 species